GGGAGUUUAGUGCUUCUACCACCAUACCACUUGCUGGUGCCCGAUUUUCUUUUAAUAAUACACAACACAGAGACUUCAGACUUCAAGAGUUGGAAGAAAAUGGAAAAACUGUUUUACUCAUUUUUUUCUCUAUUAUUCAUGGAUGCUGCCAGAAAGCCUCGUGGUGAGACAGAGCUGCUCCACCUGUGGAGUUCCUGAUCCCAGCCUGUGAGUGUCCACCCUGAAAGAGCCUCCUCCCUGCUCCCUCCAGCAUCCCCCUCAGAUCUCCCACCCCUGCAGAACUUCUCUCCAUCUCGGGUCUGCUUCUGCACCCAGAACUACCUUCCUCAGCCAUCCCUGACCUCCUGGUCGUCAUUCUCCAAGACCCCAUCUCCUCAGGCACCCUGUC